GUUGGCGGCGUGGAUUAGGCAUGCAAGUCGUGCGAGAAGUUUUUUUGCUUGCAAAGAAACGGACAGCGGCGAAAGGGAGAGUAACGCGUGGAAAUCUACCCUCAGAUCCGGGAUAGCGUCGGGAAACUGGCAGUAAUACCGGAUAAUGUUUACGGACCAAAGGUGUAAUUCCGUCUGAGGAUGAGUCCGCGUCCUAUUAGCUUGUUGGUGGGGUAAUGGCCUACCAAGGCAUCGAUGGGUACCGGGUGUGAGAGCAUGGCCCGGCUCACUGGGACUGAGACACUGCCCAGACAUCUACGGAUGGCUGCAGUCGAGAAUCUUCGGCAAUGGACGAAAGUCUGACCGAGCGACGCCGCGUGUGGGAUGAAGGCCCUCGGGUUGUAAACCACUGUCAGUUGGGAGGAAGUUCUAGAGGGCAAUCUCUCUAGUUUGACCGAUCUUCAGAGGAAGUACGGGCUAAGUUCGUGCCAGCAGCCGCGGUAACACGAACCGUACGAACGUUAUUCGGAAUCACUGGGCUUAAAGCGUGCGUAGGCGGCUUGGCAAGUUGGGUGUGAAAGCCCUCGGCUCAACCGAGGAAUUGCGCCCAAAACUGCCAAGCUUGAGGAAGAUAGAGGUGAGCGGAACUGAUGGUGG
rnacentral:rRNA from 1 species